UGUUGCAAUUCUCUUUUUUUUAUUCAGUUAAUUUCCGUCCAUUUUGCAUAUCAGUUUUCAGUAUUGUUGAUGAGAUUGUUUCGACGAAUUUUGAAGAAUGGUGUUGAUGAUUAUUUUCUAGCUGGUCAUUGCAUUAUGAUUUACAAUAGGGCCAGUUUUUGGAAACUGUUGAUUCUGCAAUUUGAAUCUUCCUUGAAAAGUUUAUAUUUGUGCUGAGGUUUAUUGUUCUUGUAUUGCUAUUCGCUGCUUGAUAUCCAUAAAAGACUAAAUUUUCUAUGUCGAAGCGUUGAUGCUCCGCAAAAUGUUGUUCAUUUGCACAAAGCAAGCACUGCUGCUAGCUUGCAGAAAGCAAUCACAGUAGUGAUUGUACAGUCUGGUCAGUCUCUUGAUGAGCUAUGGGCAUGAGGAAUAUAUGCAGGGAGAUGGUAGUGAAUAGGUUUAAAAUAGGGCUUUGCCAGCUUUCUGUGACAGCGGAUAAAGCAAGGAACAUUGAUCAUGCUAGAAAGGCUAUUGAGGAUGCUGCUCAAAAGGGUGCCAAGCUAGUUGUUUUGCUUGUAAGUUUGCAUUCAGUAUUGCUAAUCCUUGAGUAGCCCUUAAGUUAUAAGUUUUAUGUAACUUGGCCCUGAACUAAACUUUUAAAUUAAUAAGUUGUGAAUUGAUCUUGAGUAGCCCUUUUGCAUAUGACCCAAUCCUCUUUCCAGGGAGUCCAUUCCAUCCAGCCCCUGAACAUAACCUUACUCAUGUGAACUUAUUAGCCUUGAACAAAGUUAUGUCUAGAGUCUUGAUUAUAUAUUCAUCUCCUUGGGUGUUUUUUUUUUCAAACCAGCUGACUAUUGGUCUUCUUUUGGUGUUAUCAGUUCAGACCGAUGUCUUAUUUACAUAUCUGGUAAAAGAAUUAUGAACUUGAUAUGCCCUUCGAAGUUGUAAGUUCUAAGUUAAUUAUGACUUCUUUUGGUCAUUUUCUACUGUUAUAUCUUUUACACUUCUGAUGGACCGUCAAUAUUUCUAGGUAGUAAUGCUAAUUGCUAGUGGUUGCAAUGACUUACUGUCUUGUAGAACAGGUAUGUAUCUUGCUGGAGUGUUUAACCCAUUUCUCUAAGCUGUUGCUAGACAAUAGCAUGAAAUUGGUAACGGAAGAGAUUAUCAAGGUUAUAAGUUGCUGCUAUAACAAGUUCUCCUUGUUUGUUUCUAAUAAUGCAUCCUUCCCCUCCUUUUUGGA